UUACGGUCAAAUCACGCUGAAAACACCGGUUCUCGUUCGAUCACCGAAGUUAAGCAUCGUAGAGCCAGGUCAGUACUUAGGUGGGGGACCGCUUUGGAACACCUGGUACUGUAAG
rnacentral:rRNA from 1 species